rnacentral:rRNA from 1 species
CCCUUAGAUGUUCUGGGCUGCACGCGCGCUACAAUGGCGUUUUCAAAAAGAUUGCUAAUCCGAAAGGACCAGCGGAUCUUCGAAGUGGCGUCGUGAUCGGGACAGUUGAUUGCAAUUAUUCGACUCGAACGAGGAAUUCCUUGUAAUCGUGCGUCAUCAGCGCACGCUGAAUACGUCCCUGUUCUUUGUACACACCGCCCGUCGCUCCUACCGAUCGAGCGAUCCAAUGAAUGUUUCGGAGCGGAACUGAGAUGCUAAUGCGUCUCUUUUACGCGAAGUUGUGUGAAUUUGAUCGCUUAGAGGAAGGAGAAGUCGUAACA